AAUCAAAAAUAAUUAUUAAUUUUUCCUCUUACAAAAAGCGGUGGUGGUGGUGGCGGGAACCCAAUAUCCACAGACGUUUUCUUCUAAUUAGCUCUUUGAAUCAGAGAAUACUAUUUCUUUGCACUUCAUAAAUUCUGGAACUGCUAUUCAUUUCUCCAUAGUGUUAAAGACAGCCCAGGAAAAUAAGCAAUUCUUGGCCAUUUGGCAAAGCAAUCAGCUACCUCUUAAUACUAAACAAAAAAGGUAUUUGAAUUGAAACACUGUAAGCCACAGUAUGCACAACUUACAUUUAAUGUACACGCAUUUGUGCUGUGUAACUAUUCAAAGGAAAUUCCAGCUGCUCCCAUCCUAAAAUCCCAUUAAAAAGCCAGAAUUUACAUAGAUGGCUUUCUAAAAGGCAACCAAGAAAUUAAGGAGCUUCUGACAGCCAUUUACGUGCUUUUAACAUCAGGAGCUUCAACUGCUAUCUUGCCAGAAGUUCCAGGGCUGGACCUGGGUGGCAAUCCCCUCCACUGAAGCCAAAUGGCCUCCAGCAGAAGACAGAUUAACCUGGCCGGAAUAGAUGUGCUUCCACAGCACAUGCAUGGUGUCCAGAAGUUUCCAAAGACUUGCAAAGUAGAUUUUUAUUAUUAUCUGUUAUUUUUAUUAUCUGUUAUUAUUAUUACAGAUUAUUACAGUGGAGAAAUCCAGCAUGCGUUACCAUCAGAUACCAACAGCACAGAUAAGCAGGAAUCCUUUCCUAUGUAAACUCUGCCACCUUACUCCUCCUCCUUUUCAUUGUUCAAAAAAUUAAUGAAUGUGUAUGUAAUUAAUACCUAUGUAUGCAAAUACAUAUAUCUUCUCCCCACAAAUCUGUUUAUAGCUUUCAGACCUUGGCAGGUAUAAAAAUGGUGCAACCUAUUUACAGUUCACAGGAAAGAGUCUUACCAAGGUAAUUUUGUUUUGUUAUACAAAGUAUACGUCAUAUUUGGGACCAAUGACUUAAUGUCUAACAUUCCAGUGUUUCCAUGGAAGGGCUUUUGGCAGUUUUUUCAAGUACAAAGCUGAAACUGUUACAUUAUGAAUGUAAAUAGUACAAAGAGUUAGUCAUGUUACACUUCUUCAAACACAAACAGAUGACAUAAUACCAAGAAAAUUUGCCUGGAAGACAAAACAAUCAGCAUAUGAUCACAGAAUUAAAAGAAGACAUAUAAACAAUAUAAAUCUAAUUAUGAUCAGAUGAGUAUUUUUUGAAAACUUCUUAGAUUUAUAAUAAGGCCUUUUCUGACAGUCUGAGGAUUUUCACAGAUACUGAGUUGCCUUCCGUUUUCAUGGAGAUUGACCUGAAAUAAGCGAUGCACUGAAGACAAAAAGUCCCUGAGAACACUCAGGUUCUAAUAUCCAGCCUAGAGAUUACGCAAAGCCAAAUGGAGGUGUGUAUAAAACUUGAACGUUUUGCACGUUUUAUGUUUUAUGGUCUUCCAUGGCAGAGGCAGAGGCCCCCUUAUCUACUCUCCAAUUCCAGUUUGAACCACAGAAUGGCUGAAGUGGGAGGAGAGUUCUAGAGGUCACUAGGAUCAAUCUCCUGCCCAAGCAGAGGCCACUAGAGCACAUUUCCCAGGACUGUGUCCAGACAGCUUUUGAAUACCUCCAGGAGAGACUCCUCAACCCAUCUGGGCAACCUGUUCCAGUGCUCUGUCACCCUCCAAGAAAAGAAAGUUUUCCUCAAAUUCAUAUGGAACUUCCUGUGUUUCAGUUUGUGCCCACUGCCUCUCAUCACUUGGGCACCACUGAGAAGAGUAUGGUUCUAUCCUGACACCUCCCUUCAGAUACUUAUGCACGUUGAUGAGAUCCUCUGCGUCUUCUCUCUUCCAGGCUGAUCAGGCCCAGCUCCCUCAGCCUCUCCUCAUGUGAGAUGUCCCUUCAGCAUUUUAGUAGCCCUUCACUGAACACGCUCCAGGAGCUUCAAGUCUCUUCUGUAUUGGGGACCCCAGAAUUGGACACUACUCCAGGUGAUGCCUCACCAGGGCUGACCAGAGGGGAAGGAUCAUCUCCCUGUACCUGCUGGCAGUGUUCUUCCUAAGGCAACCCAGGUCACCAUUGGCCUUCUUGGUCAAUAGGGUACACUGCUGGCUAAUGUUCAACUUGUUCGUUGCCAAAAUCCCCUGGUCCUUCUCUGCUGAGCUACUUUCCCACAGGUCAGCCCCCAGCUUGUACCAGUGCAUAGGAUUAUUCUUCCACAGGUGCAGGAACUCAUACUCGCCUUAGCUGAAUUUCACAAGGUUCUUCUCUGUUCACCUCUCUCUCAGAGAUGGCCUCCAGGAUGAGCUGUUCCAACACUUUUCAAGGGAUGGAGAUGAGGCUGAUCGGCCUGUAGUUUCCCAGGCCCUCCUCCUUGCCCUUUUUGAAGACUGUGGUGGCAUUUGCUUACUUCCUCAGUCACCUCUCCUGAUCUCCAUGACUUUUCAAAGAUGAUCAAGAAUGGUCCAGCAAUGACAUUCAACAGCUCCCUCAGCACUCAUGGGUGCAUCCCAGCAGGGCCCAUUGACUUGUGAGUGCCAUGUUUGCCAAUCCAACUCAGUCCUCCUCAACCAAGGGAAAGCCUUCUUUUCUCCAGACUUUCUCCCUGGUCUCCUGGGUCAAGGAUUCCUAAGGGCUGGCCUUGAAGACUGAAGCAAAGAAAGCAUUCAGUAUCUCUAUUCGCUCUAUUCAUCAGGAUGAUUUUGAUUUGUUUGUUGGUUUUUAUUUUUGCUUUUUUUCAGACCCAAUAUAUUCAUGACUUUCCCAAAGAGGAAAAUACUUUGUUCUCAAUGGAACUAUAGCAUUUUACUCAUUUUCAGCAAAUAUACUGUCUCAUACAUCAGUAACUUUACAGCCAUAAAUAGCUACCACAAAAGGUUGCAGGUACUAAUUUAACAGUUAGACAAAUAAAGCCCAAAACAUUAAGAGCAGAAUAAUUUUACUGUGUUACAUACCAAAAUGUGAUAUAUAUAUCAAAAUUAUUCAUAUUCAGUUCAAAUACAUUCAAAUAAUGGUUGGGUUUUCAUAUUUCAAGAUGUCAUAAUUAAUAGCCAGACCUAACCAAGUGUGUGAAAGUGAAAAAUGACAAAAAACACAGAUGCAAAUGUUCACAAGGUCGUAGAAGGUCCAUUAACCAAUGGGCACAUCAGGUCCACUGAUUAAAUAGCCAGAAACUGCAGAAGAUCAAAUCUAAUGCUUAUUCUCUGUUUUCAACAGACAAUUGAAAAAAAAAUUAACAUCUUUCUAAACUUCCCCUUCAUGGUCAUUUCAGAUAAAGAAUAUUUUCUCCUUUAAAGACAGGUGAUGAUGACAGAAAGCCAGGACCAGUAGCCACUGUCUGGUAACCCUCUCCUGGUCUGCAGACAGCUUUUUUUCCUUUAAUUCAUCCAUGCCUACAAGAGUCAAUUCCACUUGAGAUAUCUGCCCUUUGUGGAAGAGUACAUGACCUUUUUAUGGAAAUCCAGCCAUAUAUAUGAGCAAAGGUUGAUGUGAGAGCAUCAUGUGCCACAGUAAUUUGGCUGAUCAAGUUUCUCACUUUUUGGUAAAUCUACUGAUAAACCAUUGAGGCUACUCAGUUUUCAAGUUCUGCUACAUGAUCAUUCACAGCUGUGAGAUAGCAUUACCAACUUCUAACACAUUUUUCCAGAUAAGUUAGCAGCUUCAUCUUAUAAGAAACGUUCUGUUUCCCAUGAAUCCAUCACUGUCUUUUAACCAUUUCAAGGCUUUUGGCAGUUCUGUACAGCCACAAUACAUUGCAGCAAAAACUUAGUGGAAGUUCUAGUACAAAGAGAUAGUUUCACAGAUAAUUCUUCUGGUACUUUGCAUUUCUCUCAUUAGCUGGGAAGUAGUUAAACUACAUGAUUAUGUUGUUAGCUAAUGGUUUGUUUUUUCUUGCCAACAUACCUCAAUACUUGCCACCUUACUGCCUCCAGUAUCAACUGCUGAUAAAAACCUGCAGUUUUUUUCCGUACACACAAUUAAUUAUCACUCGUUCAAGCCACUUUAUGUUAGAGUAACUGCUUUUCUAUGCAAUUCUUUGCAUAUUUUUCCCCUCAAGCCAUCAGUAACCUUCAGCUUGCUUUGAGCCAAGUGCUUUGCAACCUGCCCUCAGGUAACUGACAUUGCUUGGAAGUUCAGUUACAGAAAUACAAGUUACAAAAGAUCUGCAAAUUUUAACCUACCCUUGUUUCUAUCUGCAGUUACCAUCAACUCCCUUUGACAACUUCCCUCCUACCACUGUUGAGCACGUGAAACCUUUGACACACUUGGAAAUGACAGUUCAGUGUUACCUGUCCUCCUUCCUGGAGCUCAGAUCUAGUACUCAUACCCACUCACAGUCCUAACCUGAUUUUACUCGUUCCAUUCCUUUCAAGAAGUGCUGGCCCUCCCACUCACACUCCUUUAAGUUUUCAACAUCUAACAACAUGAACAUGUCCACAAACUUCUUCAGAGACAAUGGAGGGGUUACAAAGCCACCUGCCCUUGAUCAGUUUGAAAUACUCCUCCUCUCCAAGGUCAGCGCAAUGAUGCUGUGGUAGCCAUGCUCUAGCAAACCAGAGGCAGGUGCUGCUUCAGCCAGAGAGUUUGGUAAUCUUCCUAUGAAAACUGAAAGGAACUUUUCUUUUGCUUUGGUUUCUAGCCAGAAAAUUUCCUAAACCAAAAGCAGAAAGAGUUUUGUUUUCUGCCCUGAAGCUGCCAAGACCGUGACACAUAUUUUGGUUGAGGUUCUUAUUUUAAGCUUGAAUUUCUUUUGAAUUAUUCUUUAACUCAAGUAAUUUAAUCUUACAGUUAAACGAUUACCACAUUGUUCAUAAUUUUAGUGUUUUCAUCAGCACAUUACAUUUUUUCAUUCAAAAGUCACCUUGGCCUGCCUAUGGAAACCUGUGUUUGGUAGUACCUUAUCACUACCAAGUUGCCAGUUCUGAAUUUCACAUGCCCUGAUCAGGUUGACGCACUGCAAUAGAUGUCCUGCCCAAAUUAAAGCACACUCCACAUCAGUGCUGCUUUUGAGGAAUUUUAGAUAAAUUUUUCUCUAUUCACUAUAGAGGAUGUGCAGACUACAAUUUUUUGACAGUUUAUACCUUAACAUAUCUGCAGUCCAUUUUUAUUUUGUCCAAAGGCAUAUCCCUGAUACAAUGAUCACACUGCAGUCAAACUUCAGUCUCCUCCAAUUUCAGUUAAAUUUGAGCUUGGAUUUUGCCCUGAUCAAUAUCAGCAAUAAAUAUGUUGAUCAAAUAGCUCAAGUACUGAACCACCUAGCCAAAGGAUCAGCAAGAAUAAGAAUAGGAAUAAGAAUAAGAAUAGGAAUAAGAAUAAGAAUAGGAAUAAGAAUAAGAAUAGGAAUAAGAAUAGGAAUAGGAAUAAGAAUAGGAAUAAGAAUAAGAAUAAGAAUAAGAAUAAGAAUAAGAAUAAGAAUAAGAAUAAGAAUAAGAAUAAGAAUAAGAAUAAGAAUAAGAAGGGAUAUCUUAUAUUUACAAUCAAACCGAAAGACUUAAAUUUGACAGGCUAUAAAUUCACAUCUUGAGGACAAUCUGACUGGGCUUUUAGCACCUUCCGUUGCUUCUGGUGUACUGCUAAUUAAAAACUGAAGUCAAUUAUUUUCAAAUAGGUCACUAGCAUUUAAAAGGCAUUAAGAUCAUACAAUCAUAGAAUGGUUUGGGUUGGAAGGGACCUCUAAUAUCAUUUAGUUCCAAGCCCUUGCUAUAGGCAGGGAUAUCUCCCUCUAGACCAGGUUGCUCAAAGCUCCAUCCAGCCUGGCCUUGAUGUCUGUGUUUCCUAUAAACUGAUAACUAUUAGUGUCCCAAGAAUAUCAGAAUUUACCUGCAUAUGACCCAAUGUAUAGAAAUGCCCCUGUAAAGGUUAAAACUGACUCUCAUGUAUGCCUUUUCAAAUCCCCUGUUUUCUUGUGCAGUACCUGUUGAUCCAGGUGGGCACACCAGGAGCACAGACCUCAUUUUCAAUAGCCUUUUUAAGGGUCUGCACAGACAGAUGGCAACAGAAGAACAAUCAGAAUUGCCACGUCGCAUAAGGCACAUACUUUGCUACCAGUUCUACAAACAACUCAGGGGCUAAUUUACCAAGAAGGAGCUGGGCAUCACUGAGUGAGAUGGAACUGUGCAAAAAGAAAGCAGCUGCCCAGCACAGAGCAUUGCUCAUCCCAAUGGCACAGCAUUCAACCCACAGUGAAGCUGCACUGAUGUGUGCCAGCAGAAGGUGACCGCAUUUGCCUGAUCUUCUGCCAUCCUCUGUUCUUCUGGGAGACAACCACUAACUCCGACUUGUUCUCCUGGGACAGCUGGAACUCUGCAAGGACCAAGAUGCCUGAGCAAGACUCCUCUGUGCACAGUUCACAUCCUAGAGGCCGGAGUAAAUUAAAUAUAACCAUGCAGCUACGGCCUAUUUGUGCCAUUAUGUGUUUGUUUUUUUUCCCUACAGAUGAAAUAGUUCAUUUUCCAACAAAAUAAAAGUACACCUAAAACACAUUUUAAAAUAUUUUAUGAGGGUGGAGAGCGUACAGAAAUUGACUUCACUCAAAACUCUGUAUAAAAGAAAAAGCUAGUGGAAAUGUGCUGCUCAAAAAAAAAAAAAAAAAUCAACAACACAGUAACUUAAUAUUCUUGAUACCGUUACGAUUUUCAUACAAAUUUCCUUUUCACCCUCAACCCAUAAAGACGUACUUGCAGUAUUUCAACUACAGGCUGCCAUAAUCGGACUUGUCCCCAGUGCCACUUCAUUCCAAAACAAAGAUCCCUCGCAAGCCCCUCUGGCUGCUUUCCAGACAAGAUGGGUGAGAAGUUCCUUUAAAAAAACCACCAACCAAAUCAACACACACCCACACACCAAAGCUCGCUGCUCCCAUUCUGGAUAAAUUUGCAUUGUCAAUAGAUAAAUUAUUUCAGCUUAAUUUUGAGACCACGGUUUAUGUACAAUAGUAACACUGCAUAGCUGCUAAAGAAGGCUCAAUUCAAGACGGGGAUUUUGGACUGCCAUCUCAUUGCCUUUGUGAUCAGUUGGUCUAAUUCCACCAAAAAGUCAAAUUCCACUGAUAGCCACAAGUUGGUUUAGUGCCCACCAUCCUGCCACACAGCUCUGUUGCAUUUCACAAGCUAUUUUUCCAUUCUGGCUUUGUGGCCACCUCUUCCACUUUCUGAAAUAGACGCAAGCAUGCUAUGUGUUACGGACCGCCACUAAAGCUGCCAUCUGGUGAGAAAACAAAAGUCACAGGAUUUUUUUAAAACAAGGCUUUACCAUUUUUGACUCACCACUGAACAAAUACGCAGCUCAACAGGGAAGAGGAAGGAGGAAUCAAUAUAUUUCAGCCUAGUGUUAUUCAUGGAAAGUGUUAAAGCAUACCUAUUAAUAACAAUGAAAUGAAUAUAUUUGACAUGAUACACAUUCAUCCAAAAUAAGAGAUCAAUACCUGCAAGACUAUUUUCAGGCACAGCCUGAGCAGCAGGCUAUGUUCUAGAGACAACAAUAAGCCUAUCCAUUUUUCUGAACAAGAAAGAAAUCAGGAGCAGAGUUGACAGAAAACAGAAUAGCAGCAAUAAGAAACACUGAACUUAUUACCGAGAUAACAACAUACAAGUAAAAAAUAUUUAAAUUGAAUCUCUGUGAGGACAAAGGUUUUGGUUUGUUCUUACUACUUCAUACAGUAUUUGCAGUUUGAGUUAUUUUAGCAGCAUUCUUUAUGUAAGAAAGAUCUCAUUUUUGCCAUUCCAAAACUGCGUUCUCACCAGAACGAAAGAGCACGUUGCAUAGACUGAAUUUCCAUUUAGCCAGAAACCUCUAUUCAUACAGGAGUACAAAGAGAUAAGACAUUCUUGUAAUGAUGCUUGGAAAUAAUCUGCCCUGAAUUUCAAUGUAUCAUUACAUUCUGGAGUAUACUUUGCAUUUAAUUACUUGCUUCACCGGCGGUUGCUCAUUAUACAUAAACCAUGUUAAUUUAAUCACUCUAAGCAUUUGUAAACUGCUGCUCCCUAACAACACCUAAGAUGUAGCAUUUUAAGGUCACUGUACCUGCUCUCUCCAAUAUAUCAGUGUGACCGUAGUAUUUGUUUUCAACCUAGCUAGGACAAAGUCCACAUCUUCAACAUUUGUCUGAAUACAGAAAGUGUCCAGAAUACUUAUUUUCUAAAUACUAAAAUAAGAAUCCAAAUAUCUGCUGUACAAAUGCACAAUAUUGUGCUAGGCAGCAAGAACUGGAGUCAGCAAGAAGUUUCCAUCAUUUCACUCUUACUGCGGACACACGUUAUCUGGCUCAAUCUAAUUUAUCUACAAGAAGUGUAGAACACAAUCUGAGAUGUUCGUCCAUCAGCACACAUCCAGAUGAAUGCCAGGAACUUUCACUUGUGCACAGGCUUAGACAUGUACUUGUACACACUUAUAACCACACACCACAUUUAAAAUCUAGCACUCAGCCAGGCACCCGUUGUGUCCCAUAUAGAACAAGCAUCAAUUUGUGACAUCUGAAAUCCUGCAAUAACUGACACAUGAAGUUUAAGUGUUAUUCAAAUUGGAGAGAGGGAUGUCAAUAAGAUUAUAGGAGAUACUAAGAAAAACAACCGUGGCCCAAUGUUCAGUUCUGAGCAAAAUAAUUCAGAGACAUUGGAGCCUUUUCUUCCUCCCUUACAGGAACAAAGGGAAAGCCUUAAGCAGAAGGAAAGCAGAGAACUGUAUCUGCAAAACAGGUUCACUUCUCAUUCAGCCAUUCUGCGACUUCACAUUAAGCUUUGCAAAACACGCCCACCAUUGACCGCUCAGGUUUCCACCAGACACGAAUUAAGAAGGAGCUGGUUGGCCCAAAAUGGGAAGCCAUAAUUGCUUUCCCAAUUAUUGGUUUCCCAAACGGACAGUUUAAAAUUAACUAAGACAAUUAUCACGUUUCUCGAGGUGGCAUACGUGCCUGGCCCUGCGAGUCGGAGGUCCCUGCGAGACGCUAUGUGCUUCAGGAAGGGGAAAGGAGAGGGCCACUGAGCAGGAAAGAAGAAGAGCAGGGCACACCUGAGUCUGUCUGCCCAGCUCUGGGAAAGCCUGAAAAAAUAGUUAAAAACCAGUGUGAUAACUAAGGUAGCAGGUAAAUUCAUUAAACUACAGGCAAUUUUGGCUCUUAUUUCUAAAACACUGCUAACUGUAAUCAUAAGCUGUAAUUAGUGAGUGUCAUCACAUCAGGUGAUCCUACUGCAGUGGCUGAAGCUUUGAAAUCUCACAUCAAGGUAUUUUCUAUGGUCUUUCUAUGAACAUCUAUCUUCCCUGAAAUAACCAUUUCUUUCUGUUGUAGAUGUAAAGAAGGUAAUAGAAACUAAUGGAAAAGUAUCUGCUGUCUUUGCUGACCGUCACUUUGAUUCCGUCUACAUUAAGAAGCUGCACACCACAGCUCUAGGUUUAAAUACUUUAAUACAGCCUUGUGUAUGGACUCUGCUGUGGGCAGAAAUAUCCACCUGCUCUGCAGCUGACAAAUUUUCUGUAUAAGUAAAAUACAUAUUAGGAAUCUACGUUAACGUUUUAUCUCCUUGAUUUCAACAACUUCAAGACCACUACUGAAGAUGUACGAGAAGCUCUAUUUCUAUCCAUUUUCUACUGGCUUGGCAUCAGUAAGAAUGGCAGUGGUUUCAAAAGGAUGGAGAAACACCAUCACUUCUCCUAUAAUCUCAUUCAGGAUUAAGCAAGCAGAGCUCCCCAAAUCCAGGCAUCUGAGAGGCAGUGGAGAACUUCCCACACGCAGCAAUAAGAUGUUGGUUGGAAACCCGCCUCACUGGCUCGAAGUAAGAACACUCAUCUGGUCUGUCUGCAUCUGAAAGCUCUUUGUGUGGACCAAGAUCAUAGCAGUGUAUCUAGUGAAAAAAGAGAUCAGCUUUACUUUCAAGAUCUCUUGCAUAUCAGAUACAGAGAGGUGUGAGAUUUCUCAGGCCAAAAGCAAUUGCCCCAGUUUGGAAGCAGCCAGCAGAGAUAAGAGACUUGAGAUCGCAGAUCCCUUCAAAGGUUGCAAAAAUGUAAUCCAUUUGCCUGAGCAUCACAGUGGAAAAUAAGGACCUUUGCCUAUUUUUUUUUUUAUGAAUGACGACAUUUUGGUGAAAUCAGACUACGGUAGUUCACAUACACAUCCAAUUUCUGAAUGAAAUCAGGCACUGAGGAUAAAAGAUUCAAGGGUCAGAGCUGAUCCCCAGAGCUUAGAGCCUAGAGGACACGUUACAUGAUCAGUAAUAUGUACUCAUUCUUGUCUCUAACUUGUUUCAAGUCAGGACAUGGAGAGCAUGGCCCUCCAGAGGAGAUGAGAACGUAAGGAGUGUUGCCACCAGUUCAGAUGUUCUCUCAAAGCUAUGUUUGGCUCCAGACAAAAACAUUAACAGUUUCCCUGUUCAGAGUAGGAAAGGUGCCAACAGAGAAACUUAUUUUUAGGUCUGACUGCACAGCAAAGUGGUAUCACAGUUCCAUCUCAGUACCCCUGCAGGCAACGGAAUAACAUGAGCAGAAACGUGCAGAGGCCAAACGUGACCUCUGCUUCCUCAGUCUCUCUAGACACAAACCCUCUGGCAAACUGGAUGGACUGAACAUGCCUCACGGGAGAAGAGCCUUCACUAAGAACAUGAAGAAUGAAUCCCGAAGUUCUGUGCACAGACCAUUCAGCCAAAGAGAUGCUGUCCCCAAAAGGAGGAAGGCUUGCUCCCUUCCCUCCCUUUCCUUUUCUUCCUUCAUGCCCUAGCUGGGACGUAUCAUCUCUUCCCUUGCACUGUCAGGAUGCUGUACUGGUUGCCGGCUGUUUUGGCAAGUUCAGGUAGCCCACUGCAGCAUGCAACAAGUUCUAACAGGAGCCCAAGGAGACCAGUGCAUCACUGGGAGCUGGAGGAAGAAAGGACAGAAGGGAAAAGGACGCUUUACCCCUUCUGGUACUAAUGAAACAGGUCAGCUUGACAUGGCAAGCUGCAGGUAAAAACCAGAGCCCCACCCCAAAGGAAGCAGUGGGAAGAACACGGGCAGAAGAAGCCACUUCUCCCCUGGCCUGAAGAAAGAAGAACAGAUGUCUACAACACCACUGGCCACACAUCCAGAAGCAAAUCCCUAGCAGCCUCAGUUUCACCAUUAUUAACUGUCCUGCUUUUCCCAUCCAGCUCCGUGCCAGAUGAGCCCUGUGCAGCAGUGAGCCACGAGCUAGAGAGGCAUGGCUGCUCACCUGGACGGUCAGAGCAAUGACUGCUCCACAGUGGGAGUUGGUUCUGAUGUUUUCCUUAGGCAGCACUUACAUUAAACACAAUUACACAAAGAAGAGACUUCUAAUAAAAUACACUUUCAAAAACGUUUUCAAUUCAAAGCCAGAUCUUUUGGCCAUUUCAAAGGCACAGGGAUGUAUGUACAAAAGAUCAAGUUGGCCCAAAUGCUGAGCUCACCAAAUUCAAAAAGCCCAGCUCACCGAAGGUUUCCAUACAACGUUCUCUCUGUCAGUAUGAUGCAGGCGUUCACCACUUGAUCUGCUGAAGCAGAAAAUUUCCUAAGUAACCAACCCAUCUUAUGACUGCUUGUCAUAACUGCAUUGCCUAUCUAAAGUUCAAGUAAGCUUUUAUCCACUGUGUUAAAAAAUACAUUCAAGAUGGUAAAACGAUGAGCUGUGUAAUUUCACACUUCGGUAUCCAAUCACUGAGGCGUUCUACCUGCUCUGAUUCUGUGUCCAGUGAUGUUAAGUGCCUCUGGUAGUCUGAAGCUGUACUUAAAGAUCAGAAGGACUGACGGUGAGAGGUUUUAAGAGACUAAUGGAUGCACACCCGUGGUUAUGUAAUUGGGCUCAAAUUCCAAGUCUGUUUAACUAGCGGGAUUUUUCCAUCAGCUUCAGCCGGGUCAGGAUUUUAGGGAAGUUUGACUCUUAUCUUUGGCAAAAACAGCAGUGAAAAGAUACGUAUUUUUAUCCAAAGUUCGAGCAACAGGAGUUGUUCAGUUUCCUGUCUUCGUUAGUUUUGUUGUCAAACAACAAAUACCACCCACACAUGUACUUUCUCAUACAAUGAGGCAAACGUCACCACAGCCAUCACUUCAGACUGGAAAGUCUGGCAAGUUGCCCAAAAGGUGAAAGUGAUCAAACUGCAGAUUGUUCAUCAGCACUGGCAGCGUUCAAUGCUGACACGCUCUGCUCUGCAACGCGCUGCAGUUAGAUGUCACCACCAGACCAGGAACUCUACGCUGAGCACCACAGAAGAUAACACGCACUCUUUUUAUGUACGCUCUUUCUAUUCACUUUGUAUUUCCUGUUCAGUCUUCACAAAUAAAUACAAACACUAAUAACAGUUUCUCUUUUAGUCCUCAGCAUCCUUUUGGCUGACCUCGAGCACUAGUCAAGCUGCUUGCUAUUUUUAGUUAAGUCAUUCAAUAAAUCACUUGAAAGUAUUAUGAAUGCUCAAGGUUAAUGAAGAGAAAGCCAACAGGCACUUUCAUACUGAGGAAAAAAACUAACUCCAUCCUUGCUCGACUCACAGCAAUGCUUACAGAGGGCAGAACAGUGCAGGGACAGGUAGGGCAUAAGUCCAUGCCACCAUACUUCUCACGGAAUGCAUUACACAUAUUGAGGACCACAUCACGAAAAGCACUUUUUCAAUAUUGAGUUUGCAGGCGCAAAGAGCGAGCAGCACACACCUACCAGCAAUACGUACUGCCUCCCUGGUGGCAACCCACUGAUCACUCCUACCAGCCUCACUGGGCGCUGAGAACGGUCCCACAAACACAGAUGAGAGCUGCCAGAGGCUCCAGCACACCUCAUUCGUCACACGUAGUUACAGUUUGCACACACCGUUCCUUUUAAGGGCAAAGUGGUUAUCCUUGGUCAGUGUCCAACAAACAACAAAAAAAUAAACCUCAUCAAAAAUUCCCAGCAAAUUGCUCCCAUUCGUUCUUUAUUAUGGGAGACUGAGGAAAAAGAAUACCAUCUUACAACUGCACCAUUCUCAUCACUGCCUCCACUAAUCCAUGCUACGCCCAAGCUUUUCUAUUUGUAAUAAAGAGGAAAAACCCAAGUCUACCUGGGCAGCUUCCACACUGUCAUCAGCCAGGCUUUCAGUCAAGGUCAAUAUUUACUUACUUACAAAAACACAGCGGAGCUGCUGGUGUUAAUAAAUCUGUAUUGUCUUAAUUUACUUGUCCUCCACAGCCUAUCAGUACCCAUCUCUUCUCUCUUCAACCCUACAGCAACAAGCAGAGCAGCACUGUGCUUGCCCUGUGCAGCCCACCAUAGCAGGAGCCUGCUCCCAGGCCAGCGUGCGAGUUCAGUAUUACACAGAUGUUUCUACAGAAGCAAGUUACUACCAUCACUAGUGUGAGAGAAAACUCUCCUGCUCACUCUUAGGUUAGCAUGCAAGUCCAUGCAGUGUUUUUGAGACCUCACCAUCACAAAGUGAAGCCACUAUUUAAUGGCAAAUUGCAUUUUGCAAAUUGCCAGUUCAAAUACACUGGCAUGCACACAGGAAAGCUAAAUUAAAUAGCACUUGACUAAUCAAGCAACAAGUAGGUUUGUUCUGCCCAAGGUGAGCCUAUAAUUCAUUUAAAGAGUAAAUGUGGAUGUUUGAUUUAAAGGAUGACAAUGUAUUCACAGCUGGCUUUAGAAAAACGGUGGAGGAAAGGAGGUGAGAGAGAAUUGAAUGAAACAAAACAAAGCACAUAAAUAAGAGGAAACUAACUUCUUCCAAAGUUGGAAGAUUUUUCUUUCUCAUCUAAUUUCAAAAGGUUGGAGACCCAGAUGCAGCCAAAGCAGGAACUGCGCGUUGCAUAGUUUACCAUACAAGAUGAGCCUGUCCACUUGGCACCUUGGUGUUACUUGUUCUCUGAUACAUUUGAACGAAUCAGUUCUGGCAGUAUCAGCAAUGCUGGCAAUUUUGGCAUGGCCCCACAGGUUCAGAAGGUUUCCCAGGCUGCCCUCCCACCAGCUGCUUGCCUUGUAUGGCAUGCUCACACCCCUCCCAGCAUCAGGCUGGAGCAGCAGGAAAAAAGGAGAGGAGAAAAAAGGAGCCACCUCCAGUGCCCAGCCUCUUGAGAAUCCAGGUGGCUACACUGACACAAAGAAGCAAUCUCUCCCUCUCCCUUAUUCCCUCUCUCACGUUUAUUGUCCCCUUCCAAGACCUCAGAAAUCCAAGAAGUAAGACUUGACUUCAGAAGGUACUUCUUCCUAUCUCUCUCUACACUUUAGCGAUGGUCAGGAAGUGACUGCCACAGUGCAGCUGCACAGCGGACUUCUUUCCACUGAGAAAAACACAGCCACGAGGCCUGGCAGACCUCAGCCAGUGGACCAAACUCUCAGGCUCCUUUAAAAACUAUAUAUAAAUUCCAGUGCAGACUCUGUGACACAUUAUCACCAGCUCCAUGGAAGGAACUCUGCAAAGAGCCAGAGAUACCCCUAGACUCAAACGCCAUUCCACCAAGGGAAGUGUAUGUCAGCCGUCUAUGUGUGAGACAUUUCUACCUACACUAUGCACCAAAACAUUGCAUGCUUCUUUUUAACUGCAUUAUCUGGGAAGAGUACACUGCAAAAACAGCACCCAAAUGACUCUGCUUUUGAUUCUGACUGAAUCCUGAAGCAGGACGUCUCCUGAGAACCCUUUGCUCCUGGCCCCCACCUCUGAAGGCCAACUCAGGAAUCAGACCCCCCUCACCCCAUUCCAGCUCUCCAUUUGCCAGGGACCCACUCUGACUAACUGCGUGUGCUCCGUGCCAGGCCAUUACCCUCUCACAGUCCUGUGAUCAGGACUUCCGGUCUGCUUCUCUCGCUUUUAAUCUGUUGCUCCAAACUUGCUUGAAAGAACCCUUAGACUGAGCUUUAUGCACUGCUAUCCUAUCAACCCACAAAGAAAUGCACAGAAACAAUUUUGUUUCUCUAAACUGUUACAGUAUUUUUCUUAGUUUACAGUGCUGAAAGAAAAAAUGGAGCAGGUCAGGAGGGUUAGAAAUACUCUUCCAAAGCCAUAAGUGCAUACGUACUUAUGGACCCACAGCGCUGCUGAGGACCUCAGUUUGUUAUGAGUAGUGACAGCAGUGAUCUCAUCUAUGAGGGAGAUUUACCUUCCAGGGAGGUAAAUACACACAAGCACAAUGCUCUCGUAUGAACAUAUAGACUGAAGUAAGAGAGACAAAUACCAGCUGCCUUAAUUUAUAUUGACAUACAGACACAAACAGUGUGCUGUGGACUGGCAAAAAGAACGAUGCAUGCAGCUGACCCGUGCUGCACACAGGUUACAGCCAUGUCACCCAGCUGCUGGUCUCAUCUGCUGUGCCCUGCUGGAGAGCCUCACGCCUUGUCCUACAAGCUGCCUUCCCCAAGCCCCCUCCAGCACUCAGUACCACGGUAGCCAACAGCCCAGGGAAGCAGCAGGACGCUGUGCACGAGCCGACGUGCUCGGCCACCAGGCAAAGUACUGGGGGUUCUGCAGCACCGAGCAGCCCGGGAUCACGCCUAUCCCUGGGCGGGACUGGCUCAUGGAACCCAGGCAGUCGCUGCGUCCUGCUGUAUCAAUCCUGCUGGGACUGUGCAGCAGCCGCUGCUGUUCUCCUUCUGUGUGCUUCUACUGGGGGUACAUGGGAGACCGCAGGGUAACAUGGCACAGCCACACCGCUGCUCCUCCGCUCCAGCUUUUACUGCUUUAUACCCUGAUAGUGCCUGCAAGCAAAGCUUGCACGACACAAAGCUGGGGAUAUUCUGCUUGGAAAACCACACGUUCUUCCUCAAGGCUUCAGGAAAACACUGCUCUGUGACCACCUCACCUGCUGAUCCCAGAACUGCUUCCACCAGGGCCAUCAGUCAGCAUGCAAGCUGCCAGCAGCACCAAGCACUAAUUGCUGCGCACAGGCACUGGUAAGGGUGUGCUUGAGCAUGGCUGACAGCAGCAAGCAGAUAUGCUGCAGUGUGUAUUUUGCUGGACUGCCCAUAAUCCUCACCUGGGCCAUCUGCUUUUUUCUUCUUCCUUUCUUUCCCCCAUUCCCCCCGUAAGGAAAGAAUGCAUUUCUUGGUUUAUUUUAUUUUCUUUAGUCUCUGAAUAGUUUUGUCCAUGAAUGCCAGUUUUUAUCACUAGAGGCAAGAUCCCCUCUGCUCCCAUAUCCUCCCCAGACCAACACUGUGCUACACUCCCUUGCCUUUAAAAAAGUCUGGCGCCAAUCAGAGCUAAAAAGCUCUCAAUUUUCUGCUCACUUAAUCACAUUUUUCAAAACAUAACCUGCUCAAGUAGUCACUUACUUCUCAUUUUUUAGUUUGCAACAAAUCUAUUUGUUUGAGCCUUAGUAUUCAGACCAGCACGUAAUCACGUGUGUUCCACUUCUCUCAUAAUCCCAGGCAUUUGAGACCCUGCCAACUUCUUUAUUCGGGAACCUGCCUCCUCCACACCCCCUUUCUAAACUUUGCAUUUGUUUUGCUUUAUAGUGAUCAUUGAAGUUCUCACUCCAGCUGGGAGGACAGUCAGGCACCUUCAAGAACAAGGGAAUGAUUGACAAUAUUAGGCAGAAAAUUUUCUACCAGAUGCUGCUCGAAAGGAGAGGUGGCAACCUUCUGACCCCCUCUUCAAUGAGGAAAAUCAGCGCUUCUGCGACAUCCCUCUGCCCCAAUCAUCAAUUGAGCGGGGAGCACAAGGUCACUUCUGUGUCUGGCUGUUGUGCAGUAAAAUUCCACCCUGUAGACACGGCUAUGCUUUCUGCUUGAAGGAGGUUCCAGUGCCAGCCAUGCAUUGGAAUGAAGCAGCAAAAUUCAUCAGCUAUUAAGCAUCGCUUUUCUCAGUUACUGCUCUGAAACAUUUAUGAGUUCUGAAUAAUCUUACCAGUAUGGAAGGGAAUUCUGGAUGUUCCAUCCUUGGACUGUGAGAGAAUGAAUAUCGGUAAGGCAUGGCUUUUUUAAACCCCCUCACCAAUGUUUUUUAUAAUUAACUAUUCCAACAAGUAAUUUUGCAAAACUUACACUUUUAUAUCUCUCAAAACGUUUUGUUUCCCAGAAAAAAAAAAAAAAA